rnacentral:lncRNA from 1 species
CUCACAGCCACCACCAACUGACUUCCCCACAGCCUCCAGAUGAGCAAAAAGCGAAUAGCGUGAGUCAAGAGAAUCCCCUCACUCAGACACCCAGGUUCGGGUCCCAACUUUGUCGCCGUGUGACCUUGGGCAAAUGACCUCACCUCUGAGCCUCAACGUCUUCUUCUGCAAAAUGGGUUAGUGAUCCUGACUAUGGGGCUGUUGAUUCAGGAUUCGGCGGGAACGCCCAGCACUUCCUGAGUACACAAGAGUGCUGAGAAAAUG